GCCUCAGUAGCUCAGUUGGUCCACAUCGCAAUUUAGAGCGUUAGGCUUUUAACCUGAUGGCCGCGGGUUCGAGCCCCGCCUGAGGUG